AGUGGCCUCCUGCUUGACAUAGACUAACACCCGGCAGUCAUUUCACAGGCCCGAGUUGGUGAUUAUUUUUCCUAGGAUGAAACUGAAUUCCGAGAUAAACUGUCUCCAAUCAACAUUAGCCUGAACUACAGUUUGGACGAUUCCACCUUUGAAGAUGGCCUGGAAGUGAAGCCGAUUUUGAACCACUACAGGGAGAAUGUCGUUACUGAGCAGGCUCACAUCCUGGUGGACUGUGGAGAAGACAACCUCUGUGUUCCUGACUUGAGGCUGUCAGCUAGACCAGAUAAGCAGCAGAUAAUUAUUGGGGAUGAAAAUCACCUAAUGCUCAUAAUCAAUGCAAGGAAUGAAGGAGAAGGAGCUUACGAAGCUGAACUCUUCGUCAUGAUUCCCGAAGAAGCAGAUUAUGUUGGGAUCGAGCGCAACA